rnacentral:rRNA from 1 species
GAUGAACGCUGGCGGCGUGCUUAACACAUGCAAGUCGAACGAACGACUAUUAACAGAACCUUUCGGGGCGAAGAAUAUAGAAGUUAGUGGCGGACGGGUGCGUAACGCGUGGGUAAUCUGCCUUUGUCAAAGGAAUAACUAUUCGAAAGAAUAGCUAAAACCGUAUAACAUAUUAAUAGGGCAUCCUAAUAAUAUCGAAACGAUAGUGGACAAAGAUGAGCCCGCGUCUGAUUAGCUAGUUGGUGAGAUAAAAGCCCACCAAGGCAACGAUCAGUAGCCGACCUGAGAGGGUGAACGGCCACAUUGGAACUGAGACACGGUCCAAACUCCUACGGGAGGCAGCAGUGGGGAAUAUUGCACAAUGGGGGGAACCCUGAUGCAGCAACGCCGCGUGAGUGAAGAAGGCAUUCGUGUCGCAAAACUCUGUAGUAGGGGAAGAAAGAAAUGACAGUACCCUAAAAGAAAGCCCCGGCUAACUACGUGCCAGCAGCCGCGGUAAUACGUAGGGGGCAAGCGUUAUCCGGAAUAACUGGGCGUAAAGGGUGCGCAGGUGGUUUAACAAGUUAGUGGUGAAAGGCAUAGGCUCAACCAAUGUAAGCCAUUAAAACUGUUUAACUUGAGUGCAGGAGAGGAAAGUGGAAUUCCUAGUGUAGCGGUGAAAUGCGUAGAUAUUAGGAGGAAUACCAGUGGCGAAGGCGACUUUCUGGACUGCAACUGACACUGAGGCACGAAAGCGUGGGGAGCAAACAGG